CGUCUCCCCGGCGGCCCGGUCAACUCAGAAGGUCCCCGCGGCGCUGCAGAGACCCGCCCGGGCCCCGGCUCCUGCCAUUUUUGUCAACCUCCAACUUCCGAGCGAGCCGGGAGAAACUGAAAGGAAGGGCGGGGGCCGAAAGGCAGAGGGGAAAACACCCGCUUCCUCUCCCCGCGCGGCUUCACCUCGGAGCACGGCCGUGGGUGCGCCGCCACCCGCUCGCCCGCCGGGGCCGCUGGAAGCUUUUCCUCUUCCCGUCCGCGCCUCGCCCCCGGGCUCGCCACCGCCGCCUCGGCCGUAACCUCCCUGGAGCCUAUAGAAAUCUUUUGUGUGGCGUCACCGCCUUUCGUUUAAAUCCCGCUUCCUCCUCUCGCCCUUCCUCCCGCCCCCUCCGCCGCUCCCGGAUGCUUGCGCGAUGCGCUGCUCCUCCCCCGGGAAGCUGGGUGGCUGCGGGAGGACGCCCCCGCCCAGCGCGGACGCCGCGGGCGCCGGGCCGGUGGUCCCCGGCUGAGACGCAGGGGAGCGGGCCGGAGGGAGGCCCGUCCGGGCCGGGGGCUCAGCGCCCACCCUUGGGAGACCCGGGCGCAGCCGCCGGUUGGGCUUACGUAAGCUCUCAACCCGACCCGGGGGCUCCGCGCUUCCUCCCCGCCCAGGGAGCAAGUCUCAAAGGUGGCCUGUUUUCUGGACCGAAGGGAGGACGCUUGGCACCAUCGCCGAGUGGUGUGCUGGGGUCCUGUCAUCGCGUUUUGUGGGAUGUCAAUCGGUCGGCCAGGCUCUCCUCCGCCCUUUGUUGUGUUUGCUCCUCUUCCAGGGUGCGAUCCUGGAGGGACUGUGCGGCAGGUAUAAGACAACUGGAGAAGGAAAUAGCAACCCCACUCCAGUAUUCUUGCCUGGAAAUUUCCAUGGACCGAGGAGCCUGGCAGGCUAUAGUCCGUGAGGUCACAAAGAGUCAGACACAACUGAGCGACUGAACACACAAAGACAACAGUGGGAGCUUCUGAUUUUCUUAAAUCCUGUUCCCUGCAAGAAGGUUCUCCAUUCCAUGAACCAACAUCCUGGUUGCCCACAGCUCUUACUGAGUAAUGGACAGAAAGUUAUGGACCUUUAGAAACCCAUAGAGGGGCUCGGCCUGUGUGUGAUCAUCAUCUACAGCUCACAGCUCUUGGAUUGAACGCUAGGCCUUUGCUUAGCAGGUGUGUUCAGCCCACUUCCCUUACAACUUGUCUUGGAGAGUCCAGGAAACGAGUUCUUUGGAGAGAUUGUAAGUUCUCUAAACAUAAUUGCCUCUAUCUGUGCUGCAAAGUAUAGGAGAUGUUUCAGAUAACACAGAUAAAAUUCAUACCUUUUCCUCUUAGGAGAUGAAUUCAAAUCACUUCCCUAAGUUUUCAAUGCAAUUGCAGUAUUAUAGAUAAUUUUAAUUAAGUGUAUUAUUCUGAGAAUUUUUGCUUAGGCUUUUCAGUAUUUGGGAAGCAUCAGUGCAUUUUUGUGCAUCCCCUACCCAUUUUGGCUUCCCUAGUGGCUCAGAUAGUAAAGAGUCUACCUGCAAUGUGGGAGACCUGGGUUCAAUUGCUGGGUCAGGAAGAUCCCCUGGAGAAGGGAAUGGCAACCCACUCCCGUAUUCUUGUCUUGAGAAUCUCACAGACAAAGGAGCUUGGCGGGCUACAGUCCAUAGGGUCGCAAAGAGUCAGACAUGACUGAGCAACUGACACUUUCACUUUCCCACCCCUUUUAAAAUACAACUAAUUACAGAACUUCCCUGGUGGUCCAGUAGCUAAGAGUCCGAGCUCCCACUGCAGAGGGCCCGAGUUCAUCCCUGGUCAGGGAACUAGAUUCCAUACGCCACAACAAUAUACCACAUGCUACAACAAAAGAUCCUGCAUGCCACAAGUACAAGAUUCUGCAUGGCCCCUAAGACCUGGUACAGCCAAAUAAAUCAAUAAAUAUCUAAUAAAAAAUACA
ensembl:lncRNA